UAAUACGUGGGGAGCAAGCGUUGUUCGGAUUUACUGGGCGUAAAGAGCUCGUAGGCGGAUGCGUAAGUCGGAUGUGAAAUCCUUUGGCUCAACCAGAGAAUUGCACCCGAAACUGCAUGUCUUGAGUUCAGCAGAGGGAAUCGGAAUCUAGGGUGUAGCGGUGAAAUGCGUAGAUAUCCUAGAGAACACCAGUGGCGAAGGCGGAUUCCUGGGCUGACACUGACGCUGAGGAGCGAAAGCUGGGGGAGCGAACAGGAUUAGAUACCCUGGUAGUCCCAGCCGUAAACGAUGGGUACUAGGUGUUGGGGGAUGUUGACCCCUUCAGUGCCGAAGCUAACGCAUUAAGUACCCCGCCUGGGGAGUACGGUCGCAAGGCUG
rnacentral:rRNA from 2 species